UUAAAUUGAAGAGUUUGAUCAUGGCUCAGAUUGAACGCUGGCGGCAGGCCUAACACAUGCAAGUCGAACGGUAACAGGAAGCAGCUUGCUGCUUUGCUGACGAGUGGCGGACGGGUGAGUAAUGUCUGGGAAACUGCCUGAUGGAGGGGGAUAACUACUGGAAACGGUGGCUAAUACCGCAUAACGUCGCAAGACCAAAGAGGGGGACCUUCGGGCCUCUUGCCAUCAGAUGUGCCCAGAUGGGAUUAGCUUGUUGGUGAGGUAACGGCUCACCAAGGCGACGAUCCCUAGCUGGUCUGAGAGGAUGACCAGCCACACUGGAACUGAGACACGGUCCAGACUCCUACGGGAGGCAGCAGUGGGGAAUAUUGCACAAUGGGCGCAAGCCUGAUGCAGCCAUGCCGCGUGUAUGAAGAAGGCCUUCGGGUUGUAAAGUACUUUCAGCGGGGAGGAAGGUGUUGUGGUUAAUAACCGCAGCAAUUGACGUUACCCGCAGAAGAAGCACCGGCUAACUCCGUGCCAGCAGCCGCGGUAAUACGGAGGGUGCAAGCGUUAAUCGGAAUUACUGGGCGUAAAGCGCACGCAGGCGGUCUGUCAAGUCGGAUGUGAAAUCCCCGGGCUCAACCUGGGAACUGCAUUCGAAACUGGCAGGCUUGAGUCUUGUAGAGGGGGGUAGAAUUCCAGGUGUAGCGGUGAAAUGCGUAGAGAUCUGGAGGAAUACCGGUGGCGAAGGCGGCCCCCUGGACAAAGACUGACGCUCAGGUGCGAAAGCGUGGGGAGCAAACAGGA
rnacentral:rRNA from 1 species